rnacentral:rRNA from 1 species
UACGUAGGCAGCAAGCGUUGUUCGGAGUUACUGGGCGUAAAGGGUGUGUAGGCGGUUGGUUAAGUUUGGUGUGAAAUCUCCCGGCUCAACUGGGAGGGUGCGCCGAAUACUGAGUGACUCGAGUGCGGGAGAGGAAAGUGGAAUUCCAGGUGUAGCGGUGAAAUGCGUAGAUAUCUGGAGGAACACCGGUGGUGUAGACGGCUUUCUGGACCGUAACUGACGCUGAGACACGAAAGCGUGGGUAGCAAACAGG